rnacentral:misc_RNA from 1 species
AGUCAGUUUUGGUCCAGACACAGGAGCUGAUUGGAUCAAUGCCCUUAUGAAUGGAUUGGAAAUCAUGAAGAUUAGCAAUGGAGCUAGAAGCUUGAGUGGGGUUUCAUCUGUUGAGACUCUAUUUGUGAGGCCUCACAAAAAGAACAAUAAAGGUAUCAUAAUUGGUUCUGUUGUAGGAGGAGCAUCAGCUGCAUUAGCAAUUAUUGGGUUGUGUUAUUGCUGCUUGGUAGCCCGCAGAUCAAAGAGCUCUCAACAGGGGCAGCCAUGGCUUCCUCUUCCCCUAUAUGGAAACUCUUUAACUUUGACAAAGAUGUCCACAGUUUCUCAAAAGAGUGGAACGGCAAGCUGUAUCUCCUUAGCUUCACCCAAUCUUGGUCGAUUCUUCAGUUUCCAAGAAAUAAUGGAUGCUACUAACAAGUUUGAUGAAAAUUUGCUUCUUGGUGUUGGUGGUUUUGGUAGAGUCUACAAGGGAACACUAGAAGAUGGGACAAGGCUUGCUGUCAAAAGGGGCAACCCGAGAUCUGAACAAGGUCUAGCUGAAUUUCGAACAGAAAUUGAAAUGUUAUCCAAGCUUCGCCACCGCCAUCUUGUGUCUUUGAUUGGUUAUUGUGAUGAAAGAUCAGAAAUGAUUUUGGUUUAUGAAUACAUGGCAAAUGGGCCUCUCCGAAGUCAUCUUUAUGGAACGGAUCUUCCAUCUCUUUCGUGGAAGCAGCGUCUUGAGAUUUGUAUAGGUGCUGCUAGGGGGCUGCAUUACCUCCACACUGGUGCAUCACAGAGCAUCAUUCACCGUGAUGUGAAAACUACAAACAUACUCUUGGACGAGAACUUUGUAGCUAAAGUUGCUGAUUUUGG